rnacentral:rRNA from 1 species
GACGAACGCUGGCGGCGUGCCUAACACAUGCAAGUCGAACGGGACCGGGGGCAACUCCGGUUCAGUGGCAGAUGGGUGCGUAACACGUGAGGAACUUGUCCGUCGGCGGGGGAUAGCCGGCCCAACGGCCGGGUAAUACCGCAUCCGCUCGCUCGGGGGCAUCCCUGAGCGAGGAAAGCAGCCGCAAGGUUGCGCCGACGGAGAGUCUCGCGGCCUAUCAGCUUGUUGGCGGGGUAAUGGCCCACCAAGGCGACGACGGGUAGCUGGUCUGAGAGGAUGGCCAGCCACAUUGGGACUGAGACACGGCCCAGACUCCUACGGGAGGCAGCAGUGGGGAAUAUUGCGCAAUGGCCGCAAGGCUGACGCAGCGACGCCGCGUGUGGGAUGACGGCCUUCGGGUUGUAAACCACUGUCGGGGGGGACGAAUACUCGGCUUCGAAUAGGAGCCCGAGGGUGACGGUACCUCCAAAGGAAGCACCGGCUAACUCCGUGC